AAAAGAAACUAACCAGGAUUCCCUCAGUAGCGGCGAGCGAAGAGGGAAGAGCCCAGCGCUGAAUCCCCGUCCGACGGGCGGGCGUGGGAAAUGUGGCGUANGGAAGACCGCUUGCCNGGUGUCGCUCGGGGGCCUGAGUCCUUCUGAUNGAGGCUCAGCCCGUGGACGGUGUGAGGCCGGUAACGGCCCCCGUCGCGCCGGGGUCCGGUCUUCUCGGAGUCGGGUUGUUUGGGAAUGCAGCCCAAAGUGGGUGNUAAACUCCAUCUAAGGCUAAAUACUGNCACGAGA
rnacentral:rRNA from 1 species